rnacentral:lncRNA from 1 species
CCCCCCCCCCGCUUCUCAUCGACCGAUUAAUCGUUCGUUUCGUGGUUCUUUUUUUGAUGGAUUGAUAACUCCUGUUUUUCCUUUAUCUGAUUGAAAGGUUGAUUCAUAGAACUUGUGUUGGCUCUUCUUGGAUGGAAUCUUUGUGAAAUUUCUUCUUUCUUUUCUUCCUCUUCUUCUUCUUGAAUACUUUUUGGUUGUUUCAGUCGCUUGUUCAUGGUUUUUGUCUUUGACGGAGUGCAAUUUCUUUUCUUUAAUGUAUAUGUUUGUUUUGAGUUUGUUUUGUGAUUUUUUUAAAUUCCAUGAUAUUGCCAAAUUAAGCUUUCUCUCAUUUUUCUCGAAUGAUUGAACGAUCUGCCUCUAUUUCGUUCUGUUCUUACGUGAGCGAGCGAGUAGUUUCUGGAGAUCUUCGGUUGGUUUCUUCCUCUUCUUAGUAGUUCUUUUACUUGAUCCAAAAUUUUUAGUGCAUAUUGUUUGUGGUGGGCUAGAAUAUCAAUGAAAUUGUAAAGACCUCUGGAGUCAAAUUUUUUCUGUAAUCUGUGUGGCACUUAUGAUAAAUUUAACCUCAUAGUGGAACCGAAAGAUUCUUCUUGGUCAAAGGUACAAGACGAGGGGAUCUACAGAAUUCUGAUGAAAUCAGUAAACUGGUUGGACGCAGAUUACAUAUAGACAUUUUUCAGUGCUUAGUCCACCCCCACACCCCCCCCCCAACAAAAAACAUUAGAGUAGGAUACUUCAUUCUUGUUUGUGCCAGUGCUUGUGUCAUGGUGCUUUGUAUUUAGAGGAUAGACUGCUAAAAGGGCCUCUCCCAUUGGGUUCUUGGCCCAAGGGAAAAACCCACAGUGGGAGAAGAGGCCCUGAACCAAAUUUUUCGAGGUGUUCAUACACAAAUAGGAUUCACCUAUCCUAGGGUUUUGGGGACUACAUCUUUUGUGUAUUGGGGCUUUUUGAGAGCUUGAGAGAUUUGAGGGCUUUUAUAUUGGGGUUUUCUCUUAUUCUCUUGAUACUUUCUCCAUCAUUAGUGAGGUUUUCUCGAUUGUCUCCCCCUAUGGAUGUUGGCCGUAGGCUGAACCACAUAAAUCUUUUCUCCUCCGUCUCCCUCUCUCUCUGCUUUGCUAUCUCUGGAUCUAACCUAUUUACACAACAUCAUGGGUCUCCUUUGUGCCGGAGGCAAAUACUUUCAUCCAAUCACUUUUGGCUGACCAUGGUGAGGUGAGGUUGUAGUAGUCCAUUUUUAAACCUGUUGCGGAUGUCUAGGUUGGCUUUGUGCUACAAUGUCUGGUGGAUGAAGGGAUCAGAUGGAAGAAAGGUGCAAGAAGCCUUUUGUUGAACAAAUAAGGAUUCCAAGAAUAAGAAAAGAGAAGGGCACCUUGGGACCCUAGGUGGUGCCUCCACAUGCAUUAUAUUUAUGAGAUAAAAUCAGAAGAGAAUUGAAAAUAAGAUAAGUUGAACCAUGGAACAGAUGUAUUAAAUAAAGAAAUUCACCUUGUUUAAGAGAAAUUUGGCUAUAUUGGGAGUUUGAGGAGGAAGAAGAGUAGAGAUAAGAGAAGAAGAGGCUGGGACCUGAAAUGUAAUCAAUCAUUUAACUCGGACAUGCAUGUAAAAAUGCACAUAAAGAGUGGGUGAGAGAUUAUUUAAUAUAAGGAUGAUAUGUUUUAUGAUUCAAGGUGAUGGAUAGGCACCGUUGGAUGUGUUGGGCUCCUUACCAUGAGAUAAGCAUCUUGGGAUGGCUUUUCUUGGGUAGAUGGUUUGGAGGUGGUAGACAAAACGUGGGAACACACUUCAUUAUCACAUGUGUUCAUUAAGACUGAGUUAGGUUGAUAUCAUUGUCGAUGUCUUUUUUUCAUAUUGAUUGGAUGUGCAACAGCUUGUGCAUCUCACAUCUGUUAUUCAGUGGGUGUCUAGCAAGAAAAUUUUAUUUUCUGACAGUACUUCAGUUGAUAAUGAAAUUCUUGUUUAGACUGACCAUGAAUUUGCAACUGAAUUCACAUCUACAAGAUUAGAAAGAUUUUAUGCCUGCA